AAUGAUACUUCCAUGAAAGUGGCCCACGAGGAGAGGGGAGAAUGCACACCCACGUUUGAGAAAGAAUGUGGGGCGGCUUCU
rnacentral:sRNA from 12 species